AAUAAGAGAUAUCGGGUGCAGGGCCUUCUCCUCCUCCGGCUGUUCUCCUUCACAGUCGUGAUCCAUGUGCCGCACAGGCGGUAUCCCGCUUCGUGUGCAAAAAAGCUCGUC
rnacentral:sRNA from 12 species